rnacentral:rRNA from 1 species
AGUGAACGCUGGCGGUAGGCCUAACACAUGCAAGUCGAACGGCAGCACAGGAGAGCUUGCUCUCUGGGUGGCGAGUGGCGGACGGGUGAGGAAUACAUCGGAAUCUACUCUGUCGUGGGGGAUAACGUAGGGAAACUUACGCUAAUACCGCAUACGACCUACGGGUGAAAGCAGGGGACCUUCGGGCCUUGCGCGAUUGAAUGAGCCGAUGUCGGAUUAGCUAGUUGGCGGGGUGAAGGCCCACCAAGGCGACGAUCCGUAGCGGGUCUGGGAGAGUGACCAGCCACACUGGAACUGAGACACGGUCCAGACUCCUACGGGGGGCAGCAGUGGGGAAUAUUGGACAAUGGGCGCAAGCCUGAUCCAGCCAUACCGCGUGGGUGAAGAAGGCCUUCGGGUUGUAAAGCCCUUUUGUUGGGAAAGAAAUCCAGCUGGCUAAUACCCGGUUGGGAUGACGGUACCCAAAGAAUAAGCACCGGCUAACUUCGUGCCAGCAGCCGCAGUAA